rnacentral:rRNA from 1 species
GAUGAACGCUGGCGGCGUGCCUAAUACAUGCAAGUCGAGCGAACAGACGAGGAGCUUGCGCCUCUCAAGUUACCAACGGACGAGUGAGUCACACGUGGAUAACCUACCUAUACGACUGGGGUAACUUCGGGAGACCGGAGCUAAUGCCGGAUAAUAUAUUGAACCGCAUGGUUCAAUAGUGAAAGAGGGUUUUGCUGUCACUUAUAGAUGGAUCCGCGCCGCAUUAGUUAGUUGGUAAGAUAACGGCUUACCAAGGCGACGAUGGGUAGCCGACCCGGGAGGGUGAACGGGCACUCUGGAACUGAAACACCGUCCAGACUCCGACGGGAGGCAGCGGUAGGUAAGCGUCCGCGAUGGGCGAAAGCUUGACGGAGCAACGCCGCGUGAGUGACGAAGGGCUUCGUAGCGUAAAACUCCGUUAUUAUUGUAGACCAAUUGCGUAAGUAACUAUGCACGUCUUGACGGUACCUAAUCAGAAAGCCACGGCUAACUACGUG